rnacentral:misc_RNA from 1 species
UAAUAAGUGUUUUAUGGCACUUUUUAAAUCCAUAUCCACCUUGUGUGCAAUGUCAGUCGAUCCUCUUCAUGGAGAUCGACCAAACAUCAACCUUUAUUUUUUAACUCUUUGUCUGGAAAAUAUUAUGAAUAAACAAUUCAAAAUA